UACGAGGGGGGCGAGCGUUGUUCGGAAUUAUUGGGCGUAAAGGGUGCGUAGGCGGUUUGGUAAGUCUUAUGUGAAAUCUACAGGCUCAACUUGUAGUCUGCAUGAGAAACUGCCGGGCUUGAGUGUGGGAGAGGUGAGUGGAAUUCCUGGUGUAGAGGUGAAAUUCGUAGAUAUCAGGAGGAACACCAGUGGCGAAGGCGGCUUUCUGGACGGUGACUGACGCUGAGACGCGAAAGCGUGGGGAGCAAACAGG
rnacentral:rRNA from 1 species